UACGUAGGGUGCGAGCGUUGUCCGGAAUUAUUGGGCGUAAAGGGCUCGUAGGCGGUUUGUCGCGUCGGGAGUGAAAAUCCAGGGCUUAACUCUGGACUGGCUUCCGAUACGGGCAGACUAGAGGUAUGCAGGGGAGAACGGAAUUCCUGGUGUAGCGGUGAAAUGCGCAGAUAUCGGGAGGAACACCGGUGGCGAAGGCGGAUCUCUGGGCCUGUCCUGACGCUCAGGCGCGAAAGCUAGGGGAGCGAACAGG
rnacentral:rRNA from 1 species